GAAAUACCAAAAAAUUAAAUGGCGCGCCGAUACAUCUCCUUCUUCUUCUUCUAAAAUCCUCUACCAAAACGCCCUAAUUAUCCUUUAAGCAGUUCGUCUCUCUCUCUCUCUCUCUCUCUCUAAGCCCUAAGCCGCCACCACCAUCAUCGAACCUCAUAAUCUUUAAGAGUUCGAAGUGUCUAAGCAAACACUUCUGCCAUCUCAAGAUGUCGGUUCAAGAUCAGAACGCCACAUCGCAGUACACGAUGACAUCAUCAUCUCCACAAACCGCCGUCAACGGCGGAGAAAACGAAUGCGACUGGGUUCUUUUCUAUUACUUCCAAAUCUAACGCAGGAGGGUUUUUUUUCAAGAACAAAAACGCUCUCACUUCUCCUUGGCCUCUGCAACAAUCGAUGAUCGCAGUACCUCACCUCACCUCGCCUUGCUGACAACCUCGAGAUGCAGUUGGGGUUCCAUCAAAAUCACAUUCAUUUUCUUAUUCUUACAGAUACAAUCCCUCAUCAAAUGAUUUACCUUCAAUUUUGUUUUAAUCAAAGAAAUCUAAUAUUUUGUUUCCACCUCCUCCCAACUCUUACGAUUCCACCAUCGAAAUCCCCUGAUUCCCAAACCCUAAUUUUUAAUGAUGACAUAGUAAUCUCACGUCAAUAAUGAAAAUUGGUGACUUAGAUUCUUUUUCAAAGUUUUUGAAAGAUAGGAUGGCAGUGGACCAGAGGGUUUAUGAGGUUAUCAAUAAUGGAAGGGAGCAGGUCAGUAAUGGUGGAAGUUGGAGCUCCUCCAAGGACAUAGCUCUAUUCAAUGCUUUAAAUGUUUUCCCAUAAGAUUCAGCCUUGAGGUGGGAGAAGAUUACAACUGCUGUUCCAGGAAGAUCAAAGGCGGCUUGCAUGAAGAGGGUUGCUAAUCAAAAAAAAGAUUUUACGAGUUCAAAAGUUUCUGCUGAGGAUUAAAUCUUAAUCAAUCAAGAGCCUGAUUCUGAAGUUCAUGUACACUGGAAAGGGGCAGCUAAAAUUGUGUUGGCUGCGUGUAUAAGAUACAUGCACAUUGAUGGAGAACUUGUCCCCCUAUGUGAAGAAAAGGUAAGAGAUUUCAUCUUGAUUGAAAAAAAAAAUUCUAAUGUGUAAUUGUUUACAUUAUAGGUGGAAUAUUUUUAAAAAACAGCUAAAGAUAUGGCUUCUGGAAGCUUGCAUUGUGUUGCUAUUUCAUAUAGACCAUGUGAAGCAGAAACUAUUCUGAUAGACGAAGAUGAGAUGGCACAACGGGAGCUACCUGAGGGCGAUCUUGUCUUGCUGGCAAUUGUUGGUUUAAAGAUAAUAUAUGAAUAGUUUGUCAAGCAAUCUUUAAAAAGUUAAUGGAGAACAAAUGCCUUUCUGAGAACACAAUGCAGCAGGUAUACACAUACAUUUUUGUUUGUAUUCAACUUAUUCCAAACUGAUACUGUAAUGUAGAGAUGUAUAGUAAGUUAUGUAUAUAUUUCGGACUGCAACUUUACUGUGAUACUUGUCAGAAAUUUUUAGCUGACUGACCUGUUGAAGGUACCUGCCCUAACAAAUAAUGCAAUUAUGACUCUAUCUGAGGAGAUCAAUUUGAAAAUUGCAGUCAACUGUUGAAUCCAACAAAACUCAUUAAUCCAAGAUGCAAGGUAAAUUGCAGUCAUUUGUAAUGUUCCCUUCUACACUUCUUGGAACUUCUGAGAACUGGACUUUGUUGAAGACUAUAAGUGUUACAGAGUAUCUAAACUAUGAAGGAGGUAUUAGACAUAUUAUUCAUAUGGAUAGAUCUUCAAGCAAAACUCAACACUCAGUUGCUGAAUAAUUUAGGCAAUUUCAUUAACCGUGUCUUGAGCUUUAUUGCUAAAGAUCCAGAUUCAAGAGGUGGUAGAGGUUUAGGAUACAAUUCCAUCAUUCUGGAUGCUCCAGGUGCUGAGACACAUCUGUUAUCAAAGACACUAGGAGAUAAAAUUGGUUCUUAUGUGGAACAAUAUGUGGAGACACAUCUGUAGCAGGACAAGUUGCUGCACUUGUCCUUUGCGACACCAGAGAACUAGCUUAUCAUGUCAUAUUUUCAUUUGUAACCGUCCAACAAUUUGAAAAUGUUAAUUUUCACCCAUGUCUUACUCUUUGUGUCUUGGGUGAGAUUUGUUGCAGAGAACUAGCUUAUCAGGAACUGAAGUCAAUGUAAGUCAAAACAUGAGAAAUAUAUAAGAUCUACAUGAAAAAUUACUAAUAGAUGUGUCUGGAUGGCUUCAUCAAUACAUAAGGGUAAAGAAGAAGGCAAGAUUGGUGAAAAAUAGGGACAACAAUGAAAUCAAGGGUUUUGUAUUAAUUUGUAGCAUUCAGGCAUCCAUGGAAUCCAUUCACGACUCUCUUGCUGAGGCGUUGGUUAAAUUAACAGAGGAGUGUGCAAAAUUAUGGUCAAAAGUGUAUGUUGUCUGGCCUAAAACCAGAACUAGAAGCAUUAAGACGAAGGCACUCUGAUGGACUGGAGUUGAUGGGUGAAAGAGAUGAGUAGGUAAAAUUACCUUUUCAAUGUUUUGAAGUUUUUGAUGGAAAAGAAUAGUGUUAAUGCACUUCAUAGAAAAGUAUGUUGGUAUUUUAGGAAAUUUGGCUAAUAAUUUAGUUAAUUAUAUAAAAAUGUUGAAAUGUUACAUUUGUCUACUAUUAGAAUGAUUAUUUGAUGUAUUAAAUUUGUCUACUAUUGGAAUGAUUAUUUGUAUGACAUUAACUUUCGUGCAA